AUUUCGAGUGCAAGUGCCACAGUGUCAGCUAAAGAAACACAACUGCGGGUUUUCUGCAGAGCAAAAUGGUUCUGAAAUGUCACUGAAUAGCUCACAAAGGACGCCAAUCUACGACAACAGAGAUAUAAGCAUAUAGGAGAAAGGGUCCACACAUCCUCCUUUCAAAGAAGCAACUGGGCAAAGGAAGUUGACUUCAAUCGGGCAAGAUCACAGUCAAGUUCAGCACUGCUUUCUGAUUCCAUAGACGUCUAAAUCUGGAAGUGACAGUGCAAACCUUACUUGUGUUAAGGAAGAAGACUUAUUGUACUUUAAACUAAAAAGAGAAACUAGUAAUUUGAACAUAAACUACAACUUGUAUUUCCUUUCUUUUUUAAGCAGGGACCUAAAAAUUGUAGCAUAUGAUAAGGAGAAAAAAGUCAUACUUUGAAAAAAGAAAACGAAGGUCAUGACAUCCUAGGCAAGCAAUUGAAAGGAUUCAAAAAAUUCUGAGUCCAUCUUUAAAGAUAUUUUUUUUCUUUUACAGUAAGCUUGCCGUUUUUCACCUAGGUCACAUAAAGCUUGCUGCAGAUCAGGAAAUGUCUUCAGUUUCCAAAGCCUCUCAUAGCAAUGAGUCGCUUCCUCUUUUUUUUUUUUUUUNNNNNNNNNNCCUUUUUUUUUUUUUUUUUCCAUUUUCUCUGUUUAUGGGUAAACAUUGCUCUAUUUGGAUAUACUUAAUAUUUUUGUGUCUGGCACAAAUUUAUCCAUAAGGAUCUAGCUUCUUUUCACACGUAAUUCCUUUAAUUUUCUGUCUGAGAUCCACCUGUAGAAUUAUACUUCCUGGUCUCCAUCUACAUCCUGUUUAAAGAUAUCACCGAGAGUGAUAUACCAAUUUUUUAAAAUUCUAAGCAUUAGG
rnacentral:lncRNA from 1 species